rnacentral:rRNA from 1 species
AGAGUUUGAUCCUGGCUCAGAGUGAACGCUGGCGGCGUGCUUAACACAUGCAAGUCGAACGGUAACAGGUCUUCGGAUGCUGACGAGUGGCGGACGGGUGUGUAAUGUAUAGGUAUGUGCCCCAUAGACUAGGAUAGCCACUGGAAACGGUGAUUAAUACUGGAUACUCCUUACGAGGGAAAGAUUUAUCGCUAUGGGAUCGGCCUAUAUUGUAUCAGCUAGUUGGUGAGGUAAAGGCUCACCAAGGCAAUGACACAUAACUGGUCUGAGAGGAUGAUCAGUCACACUGGAACUGAGACACGGUCCAGACUCCUACGGGAGGCAGCAGUGGGGAAUAUUACACAAUGGAGGAAACUCUGAUGUAGCAACGCCGCGUGGAGAAUGACACAUUUCGGUGCGUAAACUCCUUUUAUUAGGGAAGAUAAUGACGGUACCUAAUGAAUAAGCACCGGCUAACUCCGUGCCAGCAGCCGCGGUAAUACGGAGGGUGCAAGCGUUACUCGGAAUCACUGGGCGUAAAGCGCGCGCAGGCGGGUUUGUAAGUUGGAAGUGAAAUCCACUGGCUUAACCAGUGGACUGCUUCCAAAACUACUUACCUAGAGUCUGGGAGGGGAAGAUGGAAUUAGUUGUGUAGGGGUAAAAUCCGUAGAGAUAACUAGGAAUAUCAAAAGCGAAGGCGAUCUUCUGGAACAGUACUGACGCUGAGGCGCGAAAGCGUGGGGAGCAAACAGGAUUAGAUACCCUGGUAGUCCACGCCCUAAACGAUGAAUGUUAGUCGUCGGUAUGCUCGUCAUAUCGGUGAUGCACUUAACAGAUUAAACAUUCCGCCUGGGGAGUACGGUCGCAAGAUUAAAACUCAAAGGAAUAGACGGGGACCCGCACAAGUGGUGGAGCAUGUGGUUUAAUUCGAAGAUACGCGAAGAACCUUACCUAGCCUUGACAUUGAUAGAAUCCGCUAGAGAUAGUGGAGUGCCAGUUUACUGGAGCUUGAAAACAGGUGCUGCACGGCUGUCGUCAGCUCGUGUCGUGAGAUGUUGGGUUAAGUCCCGCAACGAGCGCAACCCUCGUGACUAGUUACUAACGGUUCGGCCGAGGACUCUAGUCAGACUGCCUUCGUAAGGAGGAGGAAGGUGAGGACGACGUCAAGUCAUCAUGGCCCUUACGGCUAGGGCGACACACGUGCUACAAUGGGCAGGACAAUGAGACGCAAUACCGCGAGGUGGAGCAAAUCUAUAAACCUGCUCUCAGUUCGGAUUGUAGUCCGCAACUCGACUACAUGAAGCUGGAAUCACUAGUAAUCGUAGAUCAGCCAUGCUACGGUGAAUACGUUCCCGGGUCUUGUACUCACCGCCCGUCACACCAUGGGAGUUGAUUUCACCCGAAGCGGGGAAGCUAAACUGGCUACCCUCCACGGUGGAAUCAGCGACUGGGGUGAAGUCGUAACAAGGUAACC